CGUACACUCCUACGGGAGGCAGCAGUGGGGAAUAUUGCACAAUGGGCGCAAGCCUGAUGCAGCCAUGCCGCGUGUAUGAAGAAGGCCUUCGGGUUGUAAAGUACUUUCAGCGGGGAGGAAGGCGAUAAGGUUAAUAACCUUGUCGAUUGACGUUACCCGCAGAAGAAGCACCGGCUAACUCCGUGCCAGCAGCCGCGGUAAUACGGAGGGUGCAAGCGUUAAUCGGAAUUACUGGGCGUAAAGCGCACGCAGGCGGUCUAUCAAGUCGGAUGUGAAAUCCCCGGGCUCAACCUGGGAACUGCAUUCGAAACUGGCAGGCUAGAGUCUUGUAGAGGGGGGUAGAAUUCCAGGUGUAGCGGUGAAAUGCGUAGAGAUCUGGAGGAAUACCGGUGGCGAAGGCGGCCCCCUGGACAAAGACUGACGCUCAGGUGCGAAAGCGUGGGGAGCAAACAGGAUUAGAAACCCGGGUAGUCCCAUGAU
rnacentral:rRNA from 1 species